rnacentral:misc_RNA from 1 species
AUAACUUACACCGUUCAUCAAAGUCGUACCACCGAUUUGGUCGUUGAUAUUGGCUAGUAGUAUAUCAUUUUCCCGUCGAAACUUCCGCUUCUGGUGUCGCUUGCGAGACUCGCCGUAGUAACCGUUCACGAUAUCAGCCGUGAUCGCAGCGAAUCGCGAGUCGUCGCGCAAAUACGCACGAUUAUCUUUACCGAAUGACGCGACGAACUUAUUCGUCACGUGGUUAACUCGUUUUAACGCACUCGUUCGUCUUUGUGAGAUUCGAUCGACGUCAAUUCCUGUCCCGUCGGGUUGAUCCGAUGAGUCGGAAAUUUCGUACUCGUUCAAGCCAUGCUGUAUCAAUUCCCGAGGAUCAUCGGGAACUCUUCGAGAAUAUUUUCUACCCGCGGUGUCGACCAGGCAGUCAGUUGUCAGAAGAGUGGAGAUUCCGAAGUCUAAAGCAGAGAUGGUGGGCCUCUCGACCUCCUGACCUACCACACCACACCACACCACACCACGUGAACUCGAGCUUCUUUGUGCUUGGUUUGUUUCCUUGCGAAGAACAGAUGAAAGAAAGAGAACGUAAAUGUAGACUAAUGGUAGCGUUACGUUGGUAAGUAAAGGGCAACUGAGAAGCAAAUAAAGAAAUGACAUUCGUGUACAUGUAGAGAGAGUUGCGUAACGUUUCCAACCGUUAUCGACAUAUUACUCGUUGUCCAUUAAAUUUUUCGUCACAGCAUGGUAUACAGCCUCCAAAGUUUUUUUUCCCCUGAAAAGCUAUAUUACGGCAUUGAGAAAACGCUAUAAUAAUCGUUAGAUGGGUGAGGUAAUUUGUUUAUGGCUGAAGGUGCAAACACGAGAUCAGUUCUUUUACUAAUGGUGCGAGGAUUCCCGCGAGGAUAAACCGAAGCGGUAAAGAAAAAUAUUUUAAAAAGUCAAUCAGUUAUGCAACCUUCCUUGCCUUCUUUAAGCUUUGUAGCAGAAAUAAGUUUGUAGCAAAAGAUGCACGCUGUUGAUGGAUCGUACGAGCCAUAUGAUUGCUUUUGCGUAUCUGGAAACAGAAUAUGCCAUUCCCUCGGGGUAUCGGAACAGGGAUUACUACUCUCGAAUUCAAUACUACGUUCAUCUCGUUCAUGUUCGAUACACGUUUAUGGCAGUUUCGCGAGAUUUGUUCGUUUGCGGCGGAUGUUCCGGGAUCGUCACCGCGUUAGCGACGUCUAAGCAUAAAAAUGAAUAGAAAACGGAUAAUCUAUGUACAGUAGAAACUGAGGAGCGAUGAUUUAAAAAUGUAAUUUGAUGAUGAAUUGUUGCUUGAGGACGGGAAUUACGAAAAAUCGAGAAACCAGCGUAUUCCACAGAAUGGUUUCUCUUAAUUUUUAAAUUAUCCUGAGAUAAACGUAUCUAUUCUUCUCGCAUACCAUACAUUUCGAAUAAUAAGGCUAGGAAAACUUGGAACGAAAAAACGAAAGAGAAUCCCGAAGAAAAAGGCAAGCAGACUUUCUGCUGCUACUACUAGAGUAGAAAAAAGUUCAUUAAUUUUUACCAAAGUUUUCUUCAUACCGUAGCAAUUUCUUGUUUCUAAAACGGUAAACGCGAAUUAUGAUCUAUAACAUCAA